GCCUUCGUGGUGUAGUGGUCAGCACGUCCGACGCGUAUUCGAGAGAUCGGUGGUUCGAGUCCCGGCGAGGGCA
rfam:Stegodyphus mimosarum contig120254, whole genome shotgun sequence.